rnacentral:lncRNA from 10 species
AUUCACAUGACUCAAAGGUGGCUGAGAAUCAGAUAUACAGUUUCUUCAUGGCCAGCCACUAUCUUGUCUUUGUUCAUAAUGACCUUGGAAAGUCCAGAGAUUGCUUAUCUAUACUGUGCUAUAACAACCUACCUACAAAGAGACGUUAAUUAAAGAGGAUGACUCUUUUAAAUACAAAUACUCCAAGGUAUUUAUGUAGAAUUUCAUCUCUCAUGUCUUCAACUGGUAUCUGUAAAAUGGGAGGUUUGGACUAAAUAUUUGGUCAAAUCCUUCUCUUCCAGAAGUUAGACAAUUAUAACUUUAUUAGGCAAUGAAUGACGGUCAUUUAUUUAGGAGGCUUCUCCUAGUUGCGGUGCCCACAUCAUCACCCACCUCUCACAUCUUCCAAUGCAGACUCAUUUGCUUCCUUUGAAAGCAAGUGAGUAACCCUUGGAAAGUCCAUAUCACCCCCAAUACUAUAUUGGCUGCCAGGGGCAUGAAGCCAUGAAGCAACUUAGUGAUACCAAGAUGCUGUAAAUCUCAAAAAUGCAAUUUAAAAAGCCAUGUUAAUUGCAGUCCUCCCUUCUCUCUUAGGUUGUUCACUUUGAGGGAAGCUAGUUGCCUUGCCAUGAAGACACUCAAGCAACCACACAGAUAGGUUGAUGGCAAGAUGGAAGAAGCUGAGGCCUCCAGCCAAUAGCCAUAUGAAUGAGCCAGCUUGAGCCAAAGAUGCACUGUCUUAGAGCGGACCCUAGAGCCCCUGUCAAGCUUUCAGACAAUGAAGCACCGACUGACACUUUGACUGCAACCUCAUGAAAGACCCUGGGCCAAAACCACCCAGCUAAGCUGCCCCCAGAUUCCUGACCCUCAGAACUUAUGAGAUCAUAAAUGUUUGGAGCUUUAACUUUAAACACACAUAUUCACAUACACAAUAACAAAAUUCCUAAGACUAAUUUCUGAGAUAAAGGGCCCAAAACAGCCCCUCAGAGAUUUGUCCUAGCAGGGAGUCUAGUCUGAACACCAAAACAAUGUUUUAUAAUCAUGUUUUGUUGGCUCAUUUUCCAGUGUCAGCAACCCCCAAAAUGGGUUCAAGAAUUAACACACCCUUAGAGCUAGGUUCACUGGUAUGCACCCUGCAGUCCCAGCUACUCAGGAGGCUGAGGCAGAAGGACUGCUUGAGCCUAAGAGUUCUGGGCUGUAGUGUGCAAUGAUCAUGCCUGUGAAUAGCCACUGCACUCCAGCCUGGGCAACAUAGUGAGAUCAUGUCUCAAAAAAAGAAUUAACACAUCCCUCCCUUCCUGCAGCCUUCCUGGAUCUAAUCAGAAGGGGAAUGGCAAGUGCUGGGGCAGUGUGGGUGUGCUUUUUUAACCAUAAACUCAUUGUUAGGUGCUGGCACCUCAUAUCAGAUCAUUCUGAUCCUGAGCUAUUCACCAAGCUUGUAUUUAAGUGCCUUACACCUACAUGCUUUCUACCCAUAAUAAAGACAGCUUCCAUUGAUCUCCAGUCUCUAGGAGCCUCUCAGAGUUUGCAAGGAACCUGGGUUGGCCUCUGUGGUUUGUGAGUAUGACAUUCAUGCUAUUUACACUAUUGGGCCAUUGCCUCUAUCCUACUCUGUUGAGAUUCCUAGGAAUUUACACAAACAGGUGUCAAAGAUGAACCAUGUUUGGCCCCAAAGAAAGCAAGGUAAAUGAAAGAAGAUUCUCAUUAUUCAGACAAGAAACUGAAAUAUCUGACACAACUGGACCCUCUUGCAUGGCAACUAUAAGCGGGAACUGAGUCGCAGCUGCCCCAUUAGGGAGCUAAUCCUCAUCUGUAAAUACUGAAAAAGCAACUAACCUGGAGGGAACAAGGUUCUCAACUUUGUGGAAGCUGAGAUGAUGCCCUUUUCAUGGCUCAUCAUUUUAAUAUUGGCACAUGCCUGGCCCAUAAUAAGCAUUCAAGUAGCACUGACUGACUAACUGAAUGAAUGAAUAAAUGAAUUAAUGCUCAAAUGAAUAAAUAAAUGGUGC